GACGAACCGUCCAAACGUUAUUCGGAAUUAUUGGGCUUAAAGGGUGCGUAGGCUGUGCAGUAAGUUGGGUGUGAAAUCCCUCGCUCAACCGAGGAACUGCGCCGAAUACUGCUGCGCUAGAGGAAGAUAGGGGUAAGCGGAACUGAUGGUGGAGCGGUGAAAUGCGUUGAUAUCAUCAGGAACACCGGUGGCGAAGGCGGCUUACUGGAUCUUUUCUGACGCUGAUGCACGAAAGCUAGGGGAGACGAACGGGAGUUAGAAAACC
rnacentral:rRNA from 1 species